rnacentral:rRNA from 1 species
GUGCCAGCAGCCGCGGUAAUACGUAGGUGGCAAGCGUUAUCCGGAAUUACUGGGCGUAAAGCGCACGCAGGCGGUCUUUUAAGUUUGACGUGAAAGCUCCCGGCUUAACUGGGAGAGGUCGUUGAAUACUGGGAGACUUGAGUUUAGGAGAGGGGUGUAGAAUUCCCGGUGUAGUGGUGGAAUGCGUAGAUAUCGGGGGGAAUACCAGUGGCGAAAGCGGCACCCUAGCCUUUGACUGACGCUCAUGUGCGAAAGCGUGGGGAGCGAACGGGAUUAGAUACCCCGGUAGUCC